rnacentral:rRNA from 1 species
UACGAAGGGGGCUAGCGUUGUUCGGAAUCACUGGGCGUAAAGCGCACGUAGGCGGAUUUUAAGUCAGGGGUGAAAUCCCGAGGCUCAACCUCGGAACUGCCUUUGAUACUGGAGAUCUUGAGUCCGGAAGAGGUAAGUGGAACUGCGAGUGUAGAGGUGAAAUUCGUAGAUAUUCGCAAGAACACCAGUGGCGAAGGCGGCAUCCUGGACCGGUAUUGACGCUGAGGCGCGAAAGCCAGGGGAGCAAACGGG